UCCAUGAAAAUUCGCUCUGGGUCAGAAAUCAAUCUUUGGAGUUCUGAACAUGCAGCUCUUCUCAUGGGCCCUUUGGAGAACAAUCAGCUACUCAGCCAUCAGAGCCUUUUUUGCUGGACGGCAGGCAGGAACUGACAGCAAACCAUCGUCUCUACAACCCGCAGAAGAUCAGCACCAAGUCUCCAUUCUCCGAAAACGUGUGUCCAUGCAGCUCUCCCAGAGGAGGUCUGCGCUGCAGUGGAAGACCCCAGGAGCGUGGGAGCCAGCUCAUCGCAUGAAGGAAACACAGAGUUGUACUUCCAGAGAUGCCAGGCGGAGCGGCGACGUGACGCACGGUAGACGAGGAGCCAGGAUGCCCAGCUCUGCUACCAACACAGAGUGGGAAUUUGCACACCUCACAUG
rnacentral:lncRNA from 1 species